rnacentral:rRNA from 1 species
AGCGUAUAUUAAAGUUGUUGCAGUUAAAAAGCUCGUAGUUGAAUUUCGGGGUCAGUAGGUCGGUCGUGCCACUGGUAUGAGCUGGUUUUACUGAUUCCUCCCUCUUGAAGAACUGUAGUGCCAUUAAUUUGGUGUUGCAGGGAAUCAGGACUGUUACUUUGAAAAAAUUAGAGUGUUUAAAGCAGGCUUUAGCUUGAAUACAUUAGCAUGGAAUAAUGAAAUAGGACGUUUGAUCCUAUUUUGUUGGUUUCUAGGAUUGACGUAAUGAUUAAUAGGGAUAGUUGGGGGCAUUAGUAUUCAAUUGUCAGAGGUGAAAUUCUUGGAUUUAUUGAAGACUAACUACUGCGAAAGCAUUUGCCAAGGAUGUUUUCAUUAAUCAAGAACGAAAGUUAGGGGAUCGAAGACGAUCAGAUACCGUCGUAGUCUUAACCAUAAACUAUGCCGACUAGGGAUCGGAUGAUGUUAAUUUUUUAAUGACUC